rnacentral:rRNA from 1 species
UACGUAGGGGGCAAGCGUUGUCCGGAAUCAUUGGGCGUAAAGAGCGUGUAGGCGGCCCGAUAAGUCCGCCGUGAAAGUCCAGGGCUCAACCCUGGAAUGCCGGUGGAAACUGUCGGGCUGGAGUCCGGAAGAGGCGAGUGGAAUUCCUGGUGUAGCGGUGAAAUGCGCAGAUAUCAGGAGGAACACCGGUGGCGAAGGCGGAUCUCUGGGCCUUACCUGACGCUCAGGUGCGAAAGCUAGGGGAGCGAACAGG